rnacentral:rRNA from 1 species
GACGGAGGCUGCAAGCGUUAUCCGGAAUUAUUGGGCGUAAAGCGUCCGCAGGUGGCUGUUCAAGUCUGCUGUCAAAGCGCAGAGCUUAACUCUGUACAGGCGGUGGAAACUGAAGAGCUAGAGCAUGGUAGGGGUAGAGGGAAUUCCCGGUGUAGCGGUGAAAUGCGUAGAUAUCGGGAAGAACACCAGUGGCGAAGGCGGCACUCUGGGCCAGUACCGACACUGAGGAGCGAAAGCGUGGGGAGCGAACAGG